rnacentral:rRNA from 1 species
UGGGGAAUAUUGGGCAAUGGGCGAAAGCCUGACCCAGCAACGCCGCGUGAGGGAAGAAGGUUUUCGGAUCGUAAACCUCUGUCCUUGGGGACGAAAGAAAUGACGGUACCCAAGGAGGAAGCCCCGGCUAACUACGUGCCAGCAGCCGCGGUAAUACGUAGGUGGCGAGCGUUGUCCGGAAUUACUGGGUGUAAAGGGCGUGUAGGCGGGAAUGUAAGUCAGAUGUGAAAUCCCAGGGCUUAACCCUGGAGCUGCAUCUGAAACUAUGUUUCUUGAGUGACGGAGAGGAAAGCGGAAUUCCUAGUGUAGCGGUGAAAUGCGUAGAUAUUAGGAGGAACACCAGUGGCGAAGGCGGCUUUCUGGACGGUAACUGACGCUGAGGCGCGAAAGCGUGGGGAGCAAACAGG